AGUGAACGCUGGCGGUAGGCCUAACACAUGCAAGUCGAACGGCAGCACAGGAGAGCUUGCUCUCUGGGUGGCGAGUGGCGGACGGGUGAGGAAUACAUCGGAAUCUACCUUUUCGUGGGGGAUAACGUAGGGAAACUUACGCUAAUACCGCAUACGACCUUCGGGUGAAAGCAGGGGACCUUCGGGCCUUGCGCGGAAAGAUGAGCCGAUGUCGGAUUAGCUAUUUGGCGGGGUAAAGGCCCACCAAGGCGACGAUCCGUAGCUGGUCUGAGGGGAUGAUCAGCCACACUGGAACUGAGACACGGUCCAGACUCCUACGGGAGGCAGCAGUGGGGAAUAUUGGACAAUGGGCGCAAGCCUGAUCCAGCCAUACCGCGUGGGUGAAGAAGGCCUUCGGGCUGUAAAGCCCUUUUGUUGGGAAAGAAAAGCAGCCAGUUAAUACCUGGUUGUUCUGACGGUACCCAAAGAAUAAGCACCGGCUAACUUCGUGCCAGCAGCCGCCGUAAGAC
rnacentral:rRNA from 1 species